rnacentral:tRNA from 1 species
GAGAAUAUAGCUCAGUGGUAGAGCAUGUGCUUAGCAUGCACAAGGUCCUGGGUUCAAUCCCCAGUACCUCCA